rnacentral:tRNA from 1 species
CCCUCGAUAGCUCAGUUGGCAGAGCAGAGGACUGUAGAUGUUACAACGGUGAUCCUUAGGUCGCUGGUUCAAAUCCGGCUCGAGAGA